CAGGUUCCAAAGAACACCCCACUUUCCAAGCAUUUGGUUCUGUCAUAUUUAAAGGUAAAAGCUGACCAUGACCACCGUAAAUGCCCCCGUCUGUCUCCUUGCUCGGAAUGAGUUUUAUCGGAGCAUCUGCCCGACAGACAAAAUGAAGGCAGUCAGCAGUCUUUCUGAUAACUUAAUGGAACCAAAGCAAAGACAAGUGACUGUCUGGGUGACCAAAUCCAAGCACAACGGUUUAGGGCCUAAGAGUGAUGGCUGGACAGUAAAUGUGGUUUUAAAGAGUCCAGCAUCCAGCGGAAGCUCUUCCAAUCGACAAAGUCCUGCUGAUCGUGUGGUGAAGUAGACAGAAUAACAUACAGAGCUCUGGAAAAAAAAACAAAAAAAAAAAACAUGAAUGUGCUUCUUAUAAGUGCUGCUCCAAUCAUUAUUCUAUUCUUUUUCUUUCCUUUUUUUUUCAUGCUAGAGAAUAAUCCUUUUUAGUUUAUACGCUAUUGUUCAGACUCUUGGAUUUAUUAAGUCUCUUAAGCAAUUUAAAAGAAGUGUAUUCUAUUUGAAUAGAAUUUCAAGUGUAAACUGUGAUGCAAAGCUGAAUGUUCAGCAUCAUUACUCCAGUCAUUAGUGUCACAUGAUCUUCAGAAAUCAUUUGAAUCAAUUUUUGCUGAUUUGCUCCUCAAGAAACAUUUAUUAUCCGUGUUGAAAACACUUGUGCUGCUUAAUAUUUUUGUGGACACAAGGAGCAGCAUUUGUUUGAAAAGUAAUUUGUUUUUUGUAACUUUACAAAUCAGUCAUUCAUCCCUUUAUGAAAAGUAAUUCAUUUAGAAAAAUUAUUUUAUACAAGAAAAUUGUUACUGACCCCAAAAUUUUGAACAGUACUCUAUAAAUAUCCAUAUAGCAAUAUGCUGCAUUUAUUUUGCCUUACUUUAAGCGAGGCCUGUCCCCACACCAGUAUGAGACAAAGUACUCCUAAAGGAGCAAAUUGGAGAAAUUGCAGCUAACAAUAUGUUGGCUUACUUUGCUGUUAAAAUAUCCAAACUUUAAAGAGAGCAAUCGUUUAUUUGCUUUUUUUCACGCACAUCAGACGGACCAACCUAAUCUGUAAUAUGUGUUUUGACAUAUAAUACUAUUAGAUUUAAUUGCCGAGGUUAACUUGGCAUGGCACUGAAAGUUUUGAAAAGCUUUUGCCUAUCAAAUACGUAGAAACAUUUUCUAUUGCCUGCGUAGCUAAUAUGGCAACAGAUUAGUCAUUUACAGAUUUUGAUAUCUUUCAAUUCUGUCAAUAAAAAGUACAUUUCUUUUCUUUUGGGAUGCGUUGCUGCAAUAAAGGGGAAGUGAUGUCUGAAAAAGAACAGAGUCAGCAUGCCACAAAGAGGCCUUUUCAUGUAUCUAGCCAACCAUCAGAACUUAGUGACCUGGAAAAUCCAUGUACACACAGGAACAAAGCUGUACAACAUCAUCUAGCAAGCAAUGACUCAUAUGGACUGUUUCCCAUAUUCACUGUUUCUGUGUUUGGAACAAGAGCACUUCAGACCUGUAUUUAUGCUUGCAUCUGCUGUUCACCCUGUUCAAAGCUCAAAGUAUUUAUUUGAAUUAAAAAUACAAUUCUUAAAAAAA